rnacentral:lncRNA from 1 species
UCGAGGCAAAAAAUACGGUCUGUUUGUAUCAAAGAUUCAACUGAAAAAUUCAGCACGAGUCGUGCACGAGCUAACUCACGAAUAAUAAGUUAAAAAAAAUUAAAAAUAAUAUAUAUAGAAAAUAAAUUUAUGGGAUCUUACCUAUUAGAUUUUGAUUUAAUAGUUGAAAUUUUAUAUAUAAAUAAAUUUUUUUAUAAUUGAGUUGGACUUGAUAUUUAGGUGGGACUAAAAAUUAAAUAAUAAAAAUCUGUAUUUAUAUAUGUAAUUAUUUAUUUAUAUAUUUAAUUAUAAAAUAUAUAAAUUAUAUAAAUAUAAAAUAUAUGUAUUCCAACUGUUAUCUGCACAAACAUGAAUUCAGCUCGUGUUCGGCUUGUUUAUCAAACAAGUUGAAAAUUUCAACUUGUGUUCGACUCGUUUACUAAGCAAGCGAUUUGAUUUCAAACUCAUUUCAAGCCAAAUAUGAGCUGACUCGUGAACAGCGGCUCGAUUGCCCCCUCUUAUUUUAGAGUUAGUGUCGACUUAGAUUGACAUUUUUUUUAUUUUUAAAAGUAAUAAUUAGAGUAUUUGAAUUGAUGAUUCAUAUAGUUCGAAAAUGCUCAUGAACACCGAAAAAAUUACUAUAAAACAAAUUUUAUGUUCCUUUUUAUCGAAUGCAUCAAGCGAUCUCGAAGUUUGAUGUUAAAUAUUUAACGGCUAUAUGUACGUUUCAAAUAAGUUGAGAAUUUUAUUAAAAAAUAGUAUUAGAUGUGUAAAUUUAGAGCAGCAGUUUUACUUUUCAAUAGAGGAAUUGUACCGUUUGGUUCGGGUAUAAACAAGAAUUAGCUAUUACAGGGAUAGGUACAAGUAUGGGGAUAAGAAAAAUAGUGUUUGGAUGAAAAUUGGGUUGUUUCCGAGGAUAAGAACAAUUUUAGACAGUUUUAUACAGAAAAUGGAGGUGUUGGUGGGAAUAAUCGAGAACUACUAUUCUCGGAUAAAAUAUUAGCGUUUGGAUAUAAAGGGAGGGAUAAGGGCUUAUUCCUAUCUCUAUCCUCUAACCAAACGCAAGUAUAAUUCAACUUUGAUGCAUAG